rfam:Flavobacteria bacterium GWF1_32_7 gwf1_scaffold_346, whole genome shotgun sequence.
GGGGUCGACUGGUUUUGACAGCGAGUGGAAUUGAUUAGUAAGCACGUCGAGCAUUGUAUGUUUAGCUCGUAAAUCCAAAUGUACAAACCUAUAAACGGCGAAAAUAAUUACGCUUUAGCUGCUUAAUCUGAAUUAUAGUAAGAUUUGCCAAGUUCCUACUAGGUAGGAAAGCUGGAUUCUCCUCAAAAGCCUUGGUUUAUGGCGGUUGGUUUAGGAGAACCGUAAAAGUAAACCUAGGAACGGUAAUGCUUUAAAUCCGUUCUGACACUGACAGAGCUAAGCAAAGAGUGGCGGUUUCUAGCCUUGCUCUUUGUCGAAAAUUCAAGAGGAAACUAAGCGUGUAGAAAGCUAUUUGAUUGCUUGUUUGGACGAGAGUUCGAUUCUCUCCGACUCCACUA